GACGAACGCUGGCGGCGUGCUUAACACAUGCAAGUCGAACGGAAAGGCCCUGCUUUUGUGGGGUGCUCGAGUGGCGAACGGGUGAGUAACACGUGAGUAACCUGCCCUUGACUUUGGGAUAACUUCAGGAAACUGGGGCUAAUACCGGAUAGGAGCUCCUGCUGCAUGGUGGGGGUUGGAAAGUUUCGGCGGUUGGGGAUGGACUCGCGGCUUAUCAGCUUGUUGGUGGGGUAGUGGCUUACCAAGGCUUUGACGGGUAGCCGGCCUGAGAGGGUGACCGGCCACAUUGGGACUGAGAUACGGCCCAGACUCCUACGGGAGGCAGCAGUGGGGAAUAUUGCACAAUGGGCGGAAGCCUGAUGCAGCAACGCCGCGUGCGGGAUGACGGCCUUCGGGUUGUAAACCGCUUUCGCCUGUGACGAAGCGUGAGUGACGGUAAUGGGGAAAGAAGCACCGGCUAACUACGUG
rnacentral:rRNA from 1 species